rnacentral:rRNA from 1 species
CUAGUACCAUAUACUCAAAGAUUAAGCCAUGCAUGUGUGAGUAUGAACUAAUUCAUACUAUGAAACUAUGAAUGGCUUAUUAAAUCAGUUAUCAUUUAUUUAAUGGUAUCUACUACUCAGAUAACCAUAGUAAUUCUAGGGCUAAUAUGUGCAACAAACCCUGACUUCUGGAAGGGAUACAUUUAUUAGAUAAAAGGUCGACGCGAGCUUAACCCAUUUUUUUGGUGAUUCAUGAUAAUUUGACAGAUUGCACGACCUUUGUGCCAUUGAUGCAUCAUUCAAAAUUUUGCCCUAUCAACUUUUGAUGGUAGGAUAGUGGCCUAUUACAGUAGUGAUGAAUGAUAAAGAAUUAUGGUUCAAUUUUAGAGAAGGAGCUUGAGAAAUAGCUACCACAUACAAGAAAGGUAGUAGGUGCACAAAUUAUCUAAUACUGACAUGAGGAGCUAGGACAAUAUAUAACAAUACUGAGCUUUAUAAGUCUAGUAAUAGGAAUGAGUACAAUUUAAAUCCCUUAGUGAAGAUCUAUUAUAGGCAAGUUUACUACCAACAACUAUGGUAAUUCCAGCUCAAAUACUGUGUAUUUAAGUUGCUAUAGUGAAAAAGCUCAUAGUUAAAACAAGGGUUAGGUUAUCUUGUCCACUUCAAGGUGAGCACCGAUCUACUCAUCCCUAUUGUUGGUGAUGCACUCCUGGCCUUAACUGGCUGGGUUAUUCCUCCAAUGUUGUUACUUUGAAGAAAUUAGAGUGUUUAAAGUAGGCCUACAGUUGUAUACAUUGGCAUGGGAUAACAUUAUAGGAUUUCAAUCUUAUUGUGUUAGCCUUUGGGAUCAGAGUAAUAAUUAACAUGGAUAGUUGAAGGCAUUCAUAUUUCAUAGUCAGAGGUAAAAUUCUAGGAUUUAUGAAAGACUAACAACUAUGAAAGCAUUUGCUAAUGAUGUUUUCAUUGAUCAAUAAUGAAAGUUGGGGGCUCAAAGAUGAUCAAAUACCAUCCUAGUCUCAACCAUAAAUGAUGCUAACCAGGGAUCAGUGGAUGUUACUUUUAAGACUCUACUGGCACUUUAUGAAAAUUCAAAGUCUUUGGGUUCCAAGGGAAGUAUGGUUGCAAGGCUAAAACUUAAAGGAAUUGACUAAAGGGCACUAAUAGGAGUAGAGCCUGUGGUUUAAUUUGACUCAACACAAGGAAACUUACAAUGUCCAAACAUAGUCAAGAUUGAUAGACUGAGUGCUCUUUCUUAAUUUUAUGGGUGGUGGUUCAUGGCCUUUUGGUGGAACGAUUUGUCUUAUUAAUUUUGUUAACAAAUGAGACCUCAGUCUACUAACUAGCUACGUGCAGGUGAUCCUUCAUGGCUAGCUUCUUAAAAGGACUAUGGUCGCUUAGGCCAAAGAAGUUUGAGGCAAUAACAGGUCAGUGAUGCCCUUAGAUGUUCUAGGCCAUAACUUGCAUUCAAAGACUCAAUGAUUCAUGAGAUCCAACAAUUCACACCAAAUAUCACAUUUUGCUAUGUUCUUCAUCAAUGUGAGAGUUGAGAUAUUCAUUGUCGAGGGUCAUUUUGAUUUUUCACGAUAGAAAGAGUCAUAGUGCCGCCCGUGCAUGUACUACGAAUGGGAUGGUCAUGGCACACAUGUUCUUUUUCACUCUAGUUCCUUGGUGCAAUUUGCUCUAGGGGUUUGUUAUUUAGCUAAAAGUGAUGAUAUCGAUCAUUUCA